ACCUAGCUGGCUCAGUUGGUAGAGCAUGUGACUCUUGAUCUUGGGUUGUAAAUUUGAGCUCCAUGUUAGGUG
rnacentral:tRNA from 1 species